UACGUAAGGACCGAGCGUUGUCCGGAAUCAUUGGGCGUAAAGGGUACGUAGGCGGUUAGUAAAGUUUGAAGUGAAAGGCUAUAGCUCAACUAUAGUUAGCAUUUAAAACUGUAUAACUUGAGAGAUGGAAGGGAAAGUGGAAUUCCUAGUGUAGCGGUGAAAUGCGCAGAUAUUAGGAGGAAUACCGGUGGCGAAGGCGACUUUCUGGGCAGUAUCUGACGCUGAGGUACGAAAGCGAGGGUAGCAAACAGG
rnacentral:rRNA from 1 species